ACAGUGGCUAAGACUGGAUAGGAAGAUAAAAGGCAUCUUUUAUCUUUUAAAAGACCUAGUAAUAGGUAUGCUUAAAGAGGGGCUUGCGCCACAUUAGUUAGUUGGUGAGGUAAAGGCUUACCAAGAUUAUGAUGUGUAGCUGGACUGAGAGGUUGAACAGCCACAUUGGGACUGAGACACGGCCCAAACUCCUACGGGAGGCAGCAGUAGGGAAUUUUCGGCAAUGGAGGAAACUCUGACCGAGCGACGCCGCGUGAACGAUGAAGUAUUUCGGUAUGUAAAGUUCUUUUAUUGAAGAAGAAAAAAUAGUGGAAAAACUAUCUUGACGUUAUUCAAUGAAUAAGCCCCGGCUAACUAUGUGCCAGCAGCCGCGGUAAGACAUAGGGGGCGAGCGUUAUCCGGAAUUAUUGGGCGUAAAGGGUGCGUAGGCGGUUAGAUAAGUCUAUAAUUUAAUUUCAGUGCUUAACGCUGUCUUGUUAUAGAAACUGUCUUGACUAGAGUGAGAUAGAGGCAAGCGGAAUUCCAUGUGUAGCGGUAAAAUGUGUAAAUAUAUGGAGGAACACCAGAAGCGUAGGCGGCUUGCUGGGUCUUUACUGACGCUGAGGCACGAAAGCGUGGGGAGCAAACAGGAUUAGAUACCCUGGUAGUCCACGCUGUAAACGAUGAGUACUAAGUGUCGGGGAAACUCGGUACUGAAGUUAACACAUUAAGUACUCCGCCUGAGUAGUACGUACGCAAGUAUGAAACUUAAAGGAAUUGACGGGACUCCGCACAAGCGGUGGAUCAUGUUGUUUAAUUCGAAGAUACACGAAAAACCUUACCAGGUCUUGACAUGUUUUUGCAAAGCUAUAGAAAUAUAGUGGAGGUUAUCAGGGAUACAGGUGGUGCAUGGUUGUCGUCAGUUCGUGUCGUGAGAUGUUAGGUUAAGUCCUAAAACGAACGCAACCCCUGUCGUUAGUUGCCAGCACGUAAUGGUGGGGACUUUAGCGAGACUGCCAAUGAUAAAUUGGAGGAAGGUGGGGAUAACGUCAAAUCAUCAUGCCCCUUAUGACCUGGGCUACAAACGUGAUACAAUGGCUGGUACAAAGAGUUAGCUGAAACGCAAGUUCUUGGCCAAUCCCCAAAAACAGUCCCAGUCCGGAUUGAAGUCUGCAACUCGACUUCAUGAAGUUGGAAACGCUAGUAUUCGCGAAUGAGCAUGUCGCGGUGAAUACGUUCUCGGGGUUUGUACACACCGCCCGUCAAA
rnacentral:rRNA from 1 species